CCUUUUCGCGAAUUUUUCACGGUCUCACAGUGCCCCCUAGUGACCAGAAAGCAGAAUGCAGAUCUUCACAUCUUUCUUUGAUAUAGGGAAGAAGAAACCUUUAUGUUGAUUGGCUGACUCUUAGUAUAUCGUUGAUAUGAUUGGACCAAUAGGCACAAUUGAUAGAAUAGAAUUUAAUACGCUACUAUUGGUCAAUAUUGGUGGAAUCUCUACGAAUGAGAAUGCGUGAGACAUUGUCAAAUUAACCAAUAACAGAUAAGAAAUCAAAAUCUUUCCACCUGACAUAAUGGUAAUAAUAAUUUUGUCCGCAAGGCGGCGCUUCUGUAUCAGCACGUCAUUGCACUUUGCAGCUAUUGUUGUCAUUUGAGUUGUGGUCACAGUGACACAUAACAUGGUGGCGAUGCUUCAGACGCGACGCAGAGAAGCUGGGAAUGUUUAGAGGGUUCGGUGGGUCGCCAACCAGCCUUUCAUCCGUUACUGCAAACUUCCAGCACAACCACGAGGGACAAUAUGUGCCGUCUUCACAGACAGGGGAAAGCUUUUGAUGAUGUUGACAACAAGAACCAUAUCAUUGUUGUUUCUAAGAAACAUUGGGAACACAAGGGACGAAUUCAGAAAUGAAUACUUCUUUUCACCAAUGUUUUGUAUCAUAGUGUGCGUAAUUAUAAUCCUUGAACUUCGUCGUGACAUGUGCGAACAGUUAAAAGAACUACACUGCUUUUCUUAAGCGUAUGCUUCCUACAACUGAUAUUUGAUAUAAUGAUAUUGCCCAAACGUCUUUCAUUUACAAUAAACAUAUGACGGUUCCGAAUACGGGUCUCGUAUAUUGUGAACUGAAAGAAG